rnacentral:lncRNA from 1 species
AUCAAUUUUGUGAUAUAGAAAAUACUUUUGGAAAUAUAAUCAAAUCACUUCAUUUUAUAGUAUACUUUACUCACUAUUGGAUAAGUUGCAAAAUGAUUAAUUUAUUAAGAAUAAUUCUAUGAAUUCUCUAUAUGCUUGAUUGAGAGUUUUUAUCCAUGGCAUUAUUGUUUAUUGAUCAUAGAUAUGAUAAUGUGUACUUGGUAUGUUUUUGAAUAUGUGUACUAUGAAUACCAAGAUUAAAGAAACCAUCUUUAGCAUACAAAAUCAACUCAUGCUAGUAUAUACUUAAUCUCAAAAGACCUUGCCAUUGGCUUACUUAAAUUAUCUUCUUAAAGGUCAAAGUUUUGCUAUGCAUGCUAACUAAGGAAACAAACAAAAAAUCAUUUCUAAAUCUAAAGAUGUUGUUUCCAUC